rnacentral:rRNA from 1 species
GACGAACGCUGGCGGCGUGCCUAAUACAUGCAAGUCGAGCGGAAGUAGGAGAGCUUGCUCUUCAACUUUAGCGGCGGACGGGUGAGUAACACGUGGGCAACCUGCCCUGCAGAUCGGGAUAACUCCGGGAAACCGGUGCUAAUACCGAAUAGUUUUCGCCACCUCCUGGUGGCGUACGGAAAGACGGUUUCGGCUGUCACUGCAGGAUGGGCCCGCGGCGCAUUAGCUAGUUGGUGGGGUAACGGCCCACCAAGGCGAAGAUGCGUAGCCGACCUGAGAAGGUGAUCGGCGAGACUGGGAAUGAGACACGGCCCAGACUCCUACGGGAGGCAGCAGUAGGGAAUCUUCCGCAAUGGACGAAAGUCUGACGGAGCAACGCCGCGUGAGUGACGAAGGUUUUCGGAUCGUAAAACUCUGUUGUGAGGGAAGAACAGGUACCAAUUAACUACUGGUACCUUGACGGUACCUCACCAGAAAGCCACGGCUAACUACGUGCCAGCCGCCGCCGUAAAAC